rnacentral:rRNA from 1 species
GUCUAUGGCCAUGCCACCCUGAACAAGCCUGAUCUCGUCUGAUCUUAGAAGCUAAGCAGGGUCGGGCCUGGUUAGUACUUGGAUGGGAGACCACCUAGGAAGACCGGGUGCUGUAGGUG